GCCAGGCAUAGUGGUGCAUGCCUAUAAUCCCAGUGGCUCAGGAGGCUGAGGCAGGAGGAUCAUGAAUUCAAAGGCAGACUCGGCAACUUAGGUAGGCCCUAAGUAACUUAGCAAGACCCUGUCUCUA
rnacentral:sRNA from 1 species